UGUGAGAGCUGGCUUGCCUGCGAUAGCGGUGGAACCGUCAGCACAUCGGUAGCUGACAGACCGCCAUCGCAGGCAAGCCAGCUCCCACA
rnacentral:antisense_RNA from 1 species